AGACAGACAAGGAGAGGAGGGAAGGAGCAAAGGAAGAAAGAAAUAAUUAGAAUUUCAAAAUAAAGACACACAUGUCUGGGAAAAUCUCUACAUAUCCAGAAAGCAAUGAACACAGACUAAAAUAACUCAUCACUAAGAAAACAUAACAAAUCAGAAAAUAUUUUUAGUUGAAUGAAAAUGAAAACAGGAGAUAUCAAAAUUUGAACUUGGGAUAUAAAAUAUUUUAGACACGACAAACACACACAUUCAGUAUAAAAGAAAAGAAAGAUACAUGUACACAGAGACAUUUGAGGACAAGCAGAGGAAGCCCCCAGAAAGAAGAGAGAAAUGAGAGGGGGCGGGAGUUUAAACGAAGAGAUGAUGUCAACAUACGCGCGUGAGAUGCCUAAUAAGACAACCGAUGACUCAGGCAAGAGAGAGAUCUGAAGGGUAACAUGGGCGACGGAGGCCACCAAAUUCAGUGUGUGACAGAGAUUUGGGUGAGGGAAAUGAUGUGGGUGUGGAAGACACUGUUGACGCCUCCAGCACAUACAAUCACUGGGUACUUAAUGAUUGACAUAUGUAGAGUAAGUCAUUGUACAGUACCUUAGUUUCUGAAUGCUGUAUCCAUAACAGAAGAAUUAAUUGCAAAAGCUGUCUGCUGUUUUCAACUAAAUUUAACCACGUGCAUCAGAACUCACACCACCUGAAGUUAUCAACGCCAACCUUUUGUGAGAUAUAUCUCAUCUCUUCCUUGUGGCCAACUAGGGGUAUUUCCUAGCAGAUACCACUCACAAUGAAAACAUAAGUUAUUGAACUCAUCAAACUAAUCAACUGAAUCGGAAAGUCUCAGCGAGCCUUUAAACUUCUCAACCAAAAGAAAGUCUAAAUCUCUUCCCUCUCAUUAAUGUUCUCUUCCCAGGGUCACAUCCAUGACAGAUAUUCCAGAAACUGAGAGGUGAAGGGAUUCAAGGAGUUCUCCCACUCCCGUCUUGAUUUGAGAAACACUGAAAUUGAUAAGUCUACAGUAGACCCCGUGGACAUCUCUACAAAGUACAGGCAUUUGAAAAUUGUAUUUGUGCCCCAACUGCCACUUCUGGUGUUCUAACUUGGUGAUGAAGAAAUGUUCUAUUCUACUAACAUGGACAGGAUUUGCCCAGUACAAGGCACCGCUUCCAGGAAGGUCUUCCACGUCUGUCUAAUGUUGAGAUCUCUCUUCUGGACUCCGGUGAGUUCAGGGUUUUCUCCUCCAGAGCUCAGGGCACUCACAUUGCCUUCCUUCCUCAAUCCUCGGACCACACCCAACACAUCCCUAGGAGGCCGGCAGGAAAUAUCUUUUAAAGGAGUAGAUCAAUUGCUGGAAGCCAAGUAUCUGUAUUUAGGCAAGGAACAAUCACGAAUAUUACUUCCUAGGGUAAGUAGGAAGUUGCUUCUCCCGAGAAUGUUGUAUAUUUCAAAUCAGAGGUGAAUGAGAAUCUUGUCAGAGGUGCUCGCUCUGGUCAGAACCCUGGGAAGGAGAAUGGCAGCGGGCCUGGUAGGGGGAGGAGUUAGGAGCUACACUAAUAGAAGCCUUUGCAAAUGUGCAAAGAUGAGACAAAAACGCACAUGGUUCGCGAAGCAUAACUAGAUAAAUGUGGGUAUUUCGUUAGAGAAUGAAGACAGACCGUGAGCAUGAUGGGAAGACUCAGAAGGACACUGUGAGGAAGACACUGCAUUGCGUCCGUAGACGUGGGAACCCACGAACAGAUUGUAAACAGCUCCUGGUACCAGACUUUUCUUUCCUAUCUGUUCACACUGUCAUUAUUGAAAACCUGGGAUGUUGUUGACUCACAGAAGCUGAGUGAGCCCCAUGAGGGGAAAUCAAUCCCCGUCAAGUAGAAGAAACUCACGUCUGCAUUUCUGCCAAGCUGAAUCACAAACAGUGCACACCCGUCAUGAUCCCUCUUCAAAUAAUUUCUUCACUUACCCGUGUGCUACUUCCUGGAGGUAAGGAAAGGGCUUGACUGGAUGAGCUAUUAUCUCAUUAGGGCUUGUGAGGAACCUGAACCGACUGGAAUGCUUUUCAUGGCCAUUUCCCAGCCCCCCUGCACAUCCUCUCUCCUGCGCCAUCUCUUGCCAUCUCGGCGACUAUUUGCCUUUUCUCAGUUUCUGUGUUGACCAAGACACACAGAUAAGGCCUUUUAAAUGGCUGCUAACACUCUGCAUCACCUUUCAAAGGCACUAGAGUCGUCUUUUCCAUGUUUGGCAGUUGAUGUGUGCUGGAAAUGUUGACUCUGUAAAUCAAGAGUUGAAUCACAAGCCAGAACUUCUUUGAACAAAUGGAACUCCCAUAAAGGCUCCCUGGGAAAGACUUUCUCAGGAUUCGACCCACAGUUGUGUUCUAGGCACUUGUGACUUGAGAACUGCGUUCUCUCCUCAUUGCUCUUUACUCAGCAGGACGGUCAAGAAUAGCCACACGAGUGUGCACAGUGGAUUGGGUUUUGUUCUUCAAUUUUGUUUUUGGCUUCCCUCUUUCAGCGGACCAAGAAGAAAAAAAAAUCAUGUGACUUAUGAAUUUGAUAUCCUGGAAGACUUUUAAAUUUUUCGUUGAGAAGCGUCAGAGUGAAUGCCCACAUGGCACAAGAUCAAAGGCUUCCCUUGAGCCCGCCACCUGCAUUCAGGCUACUGGAGGCUCAUUUCUAGCACAGUGGCUGCAGAUACAUGGGCCAAGCCAGAGCUCUCUUGCUGGUAUAAUGAGGAGAGAUGCUAUAAUAUUUUAGCUAUGGAGACAGAGGGAAAUCAAGGGUUGGGGGCUGAAUGAGAGCAUGUUUGCUAAGUAUUUGCUUCACUUUGGGGCAUCGCUUGAGUUUUCUUUGGCUAGUUAACUGAACGCUUGUCCCUUGACAAAGCGCAGCACUUGUACUGUAGCAACUGCCCUGAGUAAGUCAGGAGGAUGUUACAGCUAUAGACUUGCUCAUGACUCCAGCUCCAGGAGCUAAGGAAGAAGGUGCUGUUCUUCCUGAGAUGGAUAGGUUUUUGGCUGGGGAGGAUUCCUUGGUUCUCUGGUCAACUGUUAAGUGUGUGGGCAAUCACUUGUGUAAACCUCUUUUCAAACCUACUGAGUGUCUUGAUGAGACAGGGAAAGAUAGACAAUGGUUGAAAGCAGUAGAUAAAGUGAGUCACCACACCAUAAUCUUGCACUGGGAAGGAAACCAAAAGAUAAAAAGAGUGAAUAGAGAAACGGAGCAGAGAUCAUAGAGGGGUGCGAUUAGGAUGGGUGUCUGCCACUGGAAAAAGCAAAAAACACACUAACGGCCAGAAAAGCAAGCCAAGCAGAGUAGCCAGAGUGUUUGAACGGAGGGGCAAGAAGUCAUACAAAAUGCCAAAGCAGGAGGUCCAGGGGAAAUGGGUCUUUUGUUUGUUUGUGUACAUUUCUACUGUCCUUUGGUUUCCCCAGAACAGCUAGGAAACACAGGAAGACGUAAUAAUAAGCAAAUGUAGGUUAACUAACUUGGUCACACUCUGAAUCAGCCUGUUCUUUCAAACAUGUCCUGAGAGAGGACUGCUAUGAUUUUCUCACGAGCACACAAUAUGUUCGGCAGACUACCCCCCCUCCGGUCCUCAGGAAACUGUCGCAACGUGGCUGGAGCAUCUUUACUGCUCUUCGUGCGUGUUUUGUCAAACACACCCUGGUGACAGACACCUAGAACUGAAUUCCUUCUUGCCUUCCCAGUCCUUGAAGAAGUCUUCCCACAGCAACACAGACGUUAAAUUUGAGCAGAUCCUUGUAUGGUAGGCAGCACGGCAGCUCUGCUGGAAACAGAGCAGCCUGUGCCCCAGGCGUCCACCAGGAUCCCACAGGAAUCUCUCGAUGUAGGGCGCAAACUUGGCAGAGUUUCCUUGCUGAGGAUGAGGGUUCCUCGUAAGGGAAGGUCCACCUUGACUGUGUACAGUGCUUUGGGGCCCUGGGUAAUACAAGCAGAGGACUGGGGUUCUGCGGUGACCCCUUUAGACGUCUGCAUCGCAUUCAGCUCAGCCUACACACGGUCAAACAGGCUUGCGCCUGCCUGCUUUAUUGGUUUUGAGUUUCCGAUACAUACUAACAAACAACUCAUUGGGCCAGUGGGCAGAUGGUCCUAUUUGAUCACAGAGAUCACAUCUGGUUAUUUUACUCAUUUAAUCACCAAACAGAAUCAACUGCAAAGAAUUUUUGUUCAUCUCAUAAACUUCCAAACAAAAUCUGACAAAAACCAGUCAAUAGAAGAUGUGUGUAUUUCAGUCCAUAUGAUGAAUAAAACAUCCAUUUACACACACACACACACACACACACACACACACACACACACACACACACACACGACAAGAUCCUUUGUGCUUGCUCUGGUUAAGUGGCCUCAUGUUGUACCUCUGAAAGGUUUUGAAUAGAAAGAAACUGUGAAGUGUUUUAGAUACAUUAACACACUGCAUUAUUUGCUUUGAGAAUGUUUGUCAUCAACAAGAACCUUCAAACAUGGUCCUUGUUUAAGAGGAGGAAUUUCAUAUAACAGCUUUGCUUUAAAGUGAGGGUUUUCUGACAAAUUCUGUCUAAUUUGUAACAAUUUUUAGCACAUUUAAAUUUGUGGUCAGACUCAUUCACAGGAAAACACAAGGCAGCCUUGCUCAUCUAUUUUUAAGAGGUAGGGAGAUGGCAAUUCAUUUUUUCCUAGUCAAAAAACUUGGACACAGAAGGAGGAAAGGUAAAUAGGGACUCUCCAGUGUGCAGAUUCCUCUCGUGAGGGUCUGACUACCGUGUGAUGAAUAUGUUCUCCUGCACUCCUCCUUAAGACGGCAUUCUCAGCAAAUGGCUCUGUCAGGUAAACAUGAUUAAUGUUCCUCUUUCUCUUAGCCAUAGUUACCUUGUUGUCCAUCUAAAUCUCCCUGACAUGCCAUCUCCAGGUUACCUUGAUCAGUCUCCCAGAACCCAGUCCCGUCCCUCCUCCCACCUUCGCUGCAACAUGCCCCUUGUUGUCCCAUAUUAUUUUAAAAAAAAAAGAUACUUUAAAUAUGCAAAAGACUAAUGGUUUGUUUGAGGGGGAAAUUGUUUGAUAUAUAUUAAGCAGAGAGUCCAACUUUCCAUUUAUUAAGCUCAUAAAAGAAAAUGGAAUGGGUUGGGGGGGAGUGCAUGAAAACCUUAAAAAAAGAUAAGCACCAUUAAAACACUACAUGAGAAAAAGGUAAAAUGAGUGAUCAGAGACUAUGCACAGCAUUGGUCCCUAAGAAUGUGGGGACAUCUAGUUUAUAGUUAUUUCAAAUCUCUUUUUACAUCUGCGUCUCUCCCGUACCACAUUUUCUAAUGAGACCUCGCUAUUCACAAUGCGUGCAUAGAGUGUAACCAAACUCAACUUUUGAAAAUCACCAUAUCUAUGUGCAAAUGUAUUUUGUCACAUAGUCUAUACAUGUACUUUUAGAAUGUGACCUCCCGAGGGCCUAUUGUGGCAGCUCCAUAAAUAUACUUGCAUAAGGUCAAAUUUGAAAACUGUUAUCAACGGCAGCUUUGAAUUAAUGCAUUAAGUCAUAAUUCCCCAGGAGCCUAAAAAAAAGGAGCACCAAAUUAUGUUUGAAACAACUGACUUCUUUUCAUGGUUUACUUUUGAAUUAAAAUAAGCUAAGCUAUAAGGGUCUAAAUGACAUUUUUUUUUUUAGAUAAAAAAAAAGUUACUAACUUGAAGUGUAGGUUAAGAUGUUUUUCUUAAAACCAAAGCCGAGUUUAAAACCGAAACUUUUAGACCUAGGGGCCAAUGGGGAAAUGGCAACAUUUUGAUUUUAAAGAGCUACAAGUGUCAGCAUUACAGAUGCUGAAAUCCAAUAGAAACUCAGGAUGUUCCCUGCGCUUUCAAACUGUCAUACAGAGUUAACAGCCUGGCUAGGUUUUUUUUUUUUGUCUUUUUAAGAAAAUACAUUGCAAAGUUACAAGCAAGCUGAUUACACAAUCUCUUACCAUGCAACAUAUCAAAAACAAUGAAUUUAAUCACUCUGUGGUCUGGGUUGAAUUCAACACUGAAAUCUCUUUAUUGAACACAACAACAAAGAAUUCCAAACUCACAGAUGACCAUCUUUGAAGUUGGAUAGAGGAACCCUGGCCAUAUCAUGAUUGUCUGAUACUGGGAAAGGACAAAGUACAGGGUACAGUGUUCCAGCGAGGAUUUGGGAUGAUCUGAGAAACCCAAGUAAAGUGGUGGGAAGGAAUCGCAGACCUAGAAUGACUGGCUAGGUCAUUUGAUCUUGCUUCUGAGACGGAGUUUAAGGACCUCUGUUUCAGAUUAAACAGUACUUCAUCCCGUUCCUUUUCCUUAAGUACGCAGAUACUUCUGCAGAAUCAAAGAAACAAAUGAAUCCAAAGCAAGAGAAUGGUGUUCUGUGGAGGUCAGCACAGGGGUUCGGAAAGUAUGGCAGAGAAUAAAACCAAGAAUUCCGACACAAAGUAACGAAGCAAUGUGGAGCCGGCGAAGACACAGCAAAGUCUUCCCUGAAGGGCACACAACCAGGGAGAUCAGCCAGCUAUCCCGUAAUACAGAUGAAAGAACUCCUCUGUCAAUUUCAGAAGUCUAUUCAUCGCACUAGUUUAAAUAUACACUUUAAGAUGCCCACAUUUUCUGGCUUUCCUUGUUUUCAAAUCAUACAAAAUAGUGCUGAGAAAAUAUCUGCUAUGUAUUUGACACUGGAAACAGAAA
rnacentral:sRNA from 1 species